GCGGGAGUUGCCAAGCUAGGUCUAAGGCGCUGGGCUUAGGACCCAGUUGAUUAGUUCAUUCGCAGGUUCAAAUCCUGCCUCCCGCACCA
rnacentral:tRNA from 1 species